UGGCCGGAGCGUCGAUCCGGAGGCUCUCAGAUGGAGCGGCUGGCACUGUGAAAUCCGAGGAGAGUGCAAGCGGCGGACUCCCCUGACCCCUCCCUCCGUGCCCCAUUUUCGGCCUACCUCUCCCCAUCGCCGGUGGCCAAGGUGACCCGAGGUGAGGGAGGAGUUUCUGACUCCAGGUGGGUUGCUCCCUCUCUGCAGUACAUCUAGAUUGAGGUUGUGCUUUCUUCUUCCUAUGCUCUCUUCUAUCCAUGGCCGGUGAGAAGAUUGACGGCGGUGGAGAUCUUCUCCUUCAUACUUGGUGUGCAGCUCGAGGACGACCUCGGCACUGCUAGGGGCAUCAACGACACUUCACCGUCUUCUCUGGUUUACACGGAGUUGCCAGCAGGUAUGCUGCUGAUGUUACCAUUUGGACAGCUCAUUACUUCCAUUUUCGGACCAAUCUCUAAUGAUUUCUCAUUUGUCAUCAUCAACCAACGAGGUAAGAUCACAAUCAUAUUUGCUAAGUUGUCGGUGCCUGAGCCACAUAGGUCGGGUUGUCCACACGGUUCACCGGUUAUUCUUUCCUUUAGGAUUCAUGAAUCUUGGUCUUCCAGCAAAGGUUGCAUACUAUAUAUGAGUUAUAAUUUACUUAAGGGAUAAGAUUAAGUCAAGAAAGUUGUUUUAAUUUACUUAAAAGUUAAAUAUUACCACCGCCAGUGUAUUACGUGCAGCAGUUCUGAACGAUGUGCCUAUUUUACUGGAAUAUGAUACAUCAGAAAUCCUGGAAGCGAUAAUAAAAAACAUGUAUUCAAACACUAAUUUUGCAGGGCAUUCCUAAUUCUGUUUUUAGAAUGCAUGCCAAUCAGCCAAUGACUUACCUUUAGCAAUUGUUUCCCUCAUUCCUACAGGAAGACAAUGAAAGGUUGACCCCCUGGAUAUGUUGAUUGUUAUUGUUUUAUUCUAGAAUGAUAUACUGUGGUUUGGAAGUGCAUCCAUUUCAAAAGUUAAGAUGCACAUAACACUUCUCAGAUACAGGAAUGUGGUGUUGAAUUAAGAGACUGGUUUAGAAAUCUCUAGACUGAUCUCUUAGCUUAUACUUUUCACUAAAGUAGUGUUAGAAAGUGUGCCUAUCUUACUUCCCUGUCCUUUUCCCUCUUGAUCAUGCUAUUCUUGAGAAUAUAAAUUAUGAUCAACUGGGAUUUUCUUCCCAGCCCCAUUGAGAUGCAUGUUAAUUGAUGUUCUAUUUAAUUGUGCAUGGGAUGUUCCGAGCGCAUCAAUGUUACCAUUUCAGAUUUAUGAAAGUUAGUUUCUUGCCACUUAAUCCUCAUUAACUGGCUAGGUUCUCGCUGUAUUUCUCUUUCCAGCGUCGGCUUCUGAAUUUACUUCAUAUGUUAUUGCUAAUAUAUGCUUCCAGAUUUUUCAAUGGUACAGAGAUAUCUGCUCUACUCUUGCAUUCAUUCCCUUUGUUGUGUCAAUCAUUAUCCAUGCAGAUCUAGGAUUGCAGCGGGGCCAAAUAGCCCUAAGUUUACAUACUAUGGUGUUCUUGAUAAAAUGGACAACGUAGAUUAUGUCUCUCUCCUGGAUCAUGAAUUUUUUCAAGCAAGGCUAGAUUAUUUGUGGUAGCCUGCAAGUGCUCUGUGUAAUCACUACAAGCAGUGGUAAAGUUUCUAGAAAGUGUGUUUGAAUAUCUUUUUGGCUACUACGACAGUCAGAUGUAUAUUGGUGUUGUUCAUGAAUGGUAGGCCCUUCCUUGAUUUUUCUUAUCAUAAAAGAGAAAGUAGCUUUAUCUAAACGUUUCCCUCUAGCAGCUCAAGAAGUUUUAUUGCAGUUAUCAAAAGAGGUUGAUGCAUUUUAAAUAGAUUGGCACUGGAAGAUUACUUGGUAAUAGAUUGAUCCUAUAGAAGAUGUAGUACAAUAAAAAGAUGAUCUCAGGAAUAUGGCUUCUCUCCAUCACAUGUUAAAUGCAGAUCAACAUGCGUAAUUUUGCGGCACCACUAAAAUUGGUAAGUCUUUUGCUGCAACACUUGCAAUUAUGUUUCUCUUUAAGAGGUCUAGAGUGGUUGUAAUUAUACUAAAAUUGGUAACCCGAGCAUACGUAUCAGCUACGGAAAGGUUAGUGUGCUAAAAAAAUACAGAACUAGAGGCCUAGAUUAUAGUGGAGGAUUACAUUGGACUCAUUUCUAAAGGAUAACUUGCAAGUGACGUUGUUGAAUGAUGAAGCACUUUCAAUCAAGAUAACCCUUCAUGUCCUUAUAUGAAAUGUUGUCUUUCUUCUGAAUUGUGGAUUCACUGUGGAGAGCUUGAGCUCAUUCAGUAGACAACUGCGUAUGGGUCAGUUGGCUGUGUGGUUUCUCAGAUUGUUAACCUUAAGAUGUAUGGCUUGCCCUGCAACCUAAAUACGGUGGUAAAAACACAUACUACGGCAACAACCAGCAGUUCAUCAAACCUAUCCAAUACGGUUACUGCUUACAGGUGCACGUCAUGGUGUGCUACUGCUGAAGCUAUACCAAAGAGGCUACAACUUAUGGUCCUGCCACCGCACCUAGCUGACUGAACCCAGAUAGACCGAACUGACAAUUUUAAGUGUCAUGUACUCCAUCUGUUCCUAUAUGUUGAUGCCAUCAUGGGUGAAUCUCUUCCUGUUUAGGUGCUAUUAUGGUUCGAGGUCGUAUUCACUCGCUUAACUAACAAAAGGCAACCCCUGUUGAUGGUUUCUCGGUUCAAAAGCUAUGUGCAGAAUGUCAAGAGCUGAAGUCGCUCCAUGCACCCAGUUUAACUAGAAGGGCCAUACGGCCACUGCUUAAUUUUCUGUACCUUUCCGGGCGAUGACCUGAUAACUACCUCUUCCAACUAUUUAUUCCGCAUUAUGUGUUAUCAUGCGUAUC